rnacentral:rRNA from 1 species
CACGUAGGCACCAAGCGUUGUCCGGAUUUAUUGGGCGUAAAGAGCUCGUAGGCGGUUCGGUAAGUCGGGUGUGAAAACUUUGGGCUCAACCCAAAGCCUGCACCCGAUACUGCUGUGACUUGAGUCCGGUAGGGGAGUGGGGAAUUCCCAGUGUAGAGGUGAAAUUCGUAGAUAUUGGGAAGAACACCAGUGGCGAAGGCGGCUCACUGGCCCGUAACUGACGCUGAGGUGCGAAAGCGUGGGGAGCAAACAGG